rnacentral:rRNA from 1 species
CUACACACGUCAUACAAUGGAUGGUACAAAGGGUCGCCAACCCGCGAGGGGGAGCCAAUCCCAUAAAGCCAUUCGUAGUCCGGAUCGCGAGUCUGCAACUCGACUGCGUGAAGUCGGAAUCGCUAGUAAUCGUGGAUCAGAAUGUCACGGUGAAUACGUUCCCGGGUCUU